GGGAGGUGGAUGAGAGGAAAGAGGGAAAGAGAGAAGAGAAGGGCAUGUGGUUGGAACAGUACUGUGGAUCUACGGGAGCAGAACACAGAAAGAGACAGGCCUGUCAUAGUGGAUGAGUCUCUAUGGUGGAAGUAAAAAAAGAAGAAGAAAAAGAGAGAAAAAAAGAGUGAAACAAGAAAAAAGAAAGACUGGUGGUGUGGCGUCAUUAUUCCCAAAUAUGAAUGCUUUGUAUAGAAUGGCAUGCGAAGAGUUUCACUAGCACAGACUGGAAUAUGUUCCAUGAUUCAUCCGAUAACAUUGAGGAGUUUACCUUCAAUCACAGUGACCGUACAUAUCCCAAACAGAAGCCAUGGAUUACAGGCAAUAUCCACACGGAACUGAAGGCUAGAGCUGCAGCUUUCAAGUCUAAUCUGAACACUUAUAAUAAAUCCCGCUACAACCUCCGACGAGCCAUCAAACAGGCAAAGAGUCGAUACAGGACAAAGAUCGAAUCCUAUGCUGGCUCUGAAGCUCGUCGGAUGUGGCAGGGCUUGCAAACUAUCCCAAAUUACAAAUGGUAACCCAGCCGCAAGUUGCCCAGUGACGCGAGCCUACCAGACAAGCCAAAUGCCUUUUAUAUUCGCUUCGAGGCAAGCAACACUGAACCAUACAAGAGAGCACCAGCUGUUCCAGACAACUGUGUGAUCUCGUUCUCCGUAGCCUAUGUGAGUAUGACCUUUAAACAGGUUAAUAUUCACAAGGCCUUGGGGACAGAUUGAUUACCAGGAUGUGUACUCAGAGCAUGCUGACCCUCAACACGAGGGCCCCUCCUGUACUCCCUGUUCACCAAUGACUGUGUGGCCACGCACAACACCAUCAUAACAUUUGCUAACGACAUGACAAUAGUAGGCUUGAUUACCAACAAUGAUGAGACAGCCUAUAGGGAGGAGGUCAGUGACCUGGCAGUGUGGUGCCAGGACAACAACCUUUCCCUCAACAUCAGCAAGACAAAGGAGCUGACCGUGGACUACGGGAAACGGAGGGCCGAGCAUGCCCCCAUCCACAUCGACAGGGCUGUAGUGGAGCGGGUCGAGAGCUUAAUGUUCCUCGGUGUCCAUAUCACUAAGGAGUUAACAUGGUCCACACACACACCAACACAGUUGUGAAGAAGGCAGGCAAACCCCUCUUCCCCCUCAGGAGGCUAAAAAGAUUUGGCAUUGGCCCUCAGAUCCUCAAAAAGUUAUUCAGCUGCAACGUUGAGAGCAUCUUGACUGGCUGCAUCCCCGCUUGGUAUGGCAACUGCUUGGCAUCCGACCGCAAGGCGCUACAGAGGGUAGUGUGUAUGGCCCAGUACAUCACUGGGGUCGCUCCCUGACAUCCAGGACCUCUAUACUAGAAGGUGUCAGAGGAAGGACCUAAAAAAACAAAAGGCAAGCAGUACCGAUGCAUCAUGUCUGGAACCAACAGGACCCUGAACAGAUUUUACCCCCAAGCCAUAAGAGAGCCAAAUAGUUAACCAAUAGCUACCCGGACUAUCUACAUUGACCCCCUUAGCACUAACUACUUGAAUCAUCACGUACACUGCUGCUACUGCAUAUUAUCUAUCCUUUUGCCAAGUCACUUAACCCUACCUAUAUGCACAUACAGUAUUUACCUCAAUUACCUCGUACCCCUGUAAACAUCGACUCGGUACUGGUACCCCGUGGACAGUGCCUUCAGAAAGUACUCACAACCCUUGACUUUUAUAUAUAUUUAGAUUUGUCACUGGCCUGCACACAAACCCCCAUAAUGUCAAAGUAGAAUGUUUUUCGUAAUUUUUACAAAGCCAAUAAGUAUUCAACCCCUUUGUUAUGGCAAGCCUAAAUACGUUCAGGAGCAUGGACUCACUCUGUGUGCAAUAAUAGUGUUCAUUUAAUAUGAUUUUUGAAUGACUACCUCACCUCUGUGCCCCACACAUACAAUUAUCUGUAAGGCCCCUCGGUCGAGCAGUGAAUUUCAAACACAGAUUCAACACUUUGACAAGGGAGGUUUUCCAAUUCCUUGCAAAAAAGGGCACCUAUUUGUAGAUGGGUAGUAAAAAAGAAAAGCAGACAUUGACUAUCCCUUUUAGCAUGGUGAAGUUAUUCAUUACACUUUGGAUGGUGUAUCAAUACACCCAGUCACUACCAAGAUACAGGCAUCCUUCCUAACUCAGUUGCCAGAGAGGAAGGAAACCACUCAGGGAUUUCACCAUGAGGCCAAUGGUGAAUUUAAACAGUUACAGUUUAAUGGCUGUUAUAGGAUAAAAAUGAGGAUGGCUCAACAACAUUGUAGUUAAUCCACAAUACUAACCUAAUUGACAGAGCGAAAAGAAGGAAGCCUGUACAGAAUCAAAAAUAUUCCAAUACAUGCAUAUUGUUUGCAAAAAGGCACUAAAGUAAUACUGCAAAAAAUGUGGCAAAGCCAUGGGGCAUAUCCAAUGCAACACAUUACUGAGUAACACUCUCCAUAUUUUCAAGCAUAGUGGUGGCUGCAUCAUGUUAUGGGUAUACUUGUAAUCAUUAAAGGUCCCACUCAGUCAUCCUAUUUCCCAAGUAAAAAUUGCCUUUGAAUGACCAAAACAUCCCCCAUAAUAUGUUUACACUAUUAAAAUGCACAGACCUGAAUUUGCUUUACCUUUUCUCUCAUCUCUAACUAUCAGGAAGCCUGAAAGAACCGGCUGAGUGGGCGGGGAGCUUAUAUUCAUGAUCUCGCCUUGAAUGCAGCUCUUUGAAACACCCUUGUGUUCGUUGCAAGGUAACAAGGUCAACAAUGGGCCACAUGUCAUUGAUGACCAGGUGAACAAUGGGCCACGUCAUUCCAAGCGUAAAUAAUAUACCUCACCCCAUUUUCUCAGCAAAUGGCUCUCACGGGCAACAGAACUGAUCAUGGACUUUUGGAUAUCAGUCAAACAGCAGCAACACAAAAUUGCCUUUCUAUAGUUUUUUUAACUCAUUACAGAAUAAAGUUCACUGAUACAUAUCCGUGGGAAGUAGGGGUGCUGAGGGUGCUGCAGCACCCCCUGAAAAAUCAGAAAAAAUAAGUAAAUAAUACAAAUAAAAGACUCACAAAAGUAGUGCAGUGGGCCUUUAAUAGUCCUAUAUUAGUGGAUAUAUCCGUCUACAGCACCAUUCUAUUGGUGCCUCUGCAUUAGUAUUAUAAAUGACAAUAUGUUCCGAAUUUUAUUUAUUGAUCAGACAUAUAUUUGAUCAUUUACAAUAGGCCAGCACAGUCAAAACAUUGCUCAACACGAACAUGCACGAGAAAAAAGGUGAGAAAUAAUGGUGAGACAUAAUUUGACAGAUAAAAAAUAUUAGAGCCAUAAGCCUAAUACAGUAUAAGCAACCGGCCACCCUAGAAGUGUGCAGUUCCACAUUGAUUCGUAAAAUUUGUAACACUCGUCUCCCGUUCGAAUGCUUGAAAAAUACAAUAGAAAGUAACAAAAUGUGACAUCUUAUCAUGUAAAAGUGAAUUACUAAGGCUUUAGGAAAUGCAACCAACUACAGAGAUUGAUAGGGAGGGGAGCGGUGGGGGACCCAUGUGCCGUACUUCAAUCAAACAGGCUUCAGUCACCCCCAAGAUUGAAGCGGUAGACAAAUCCAGCUAUGGCCUCCUCACACUGGGCAGACAGAAGUCCUGGGAUGGACAGUUCGCACAGCUUCCCCACAUACGGCUCUGGAUGAAGGGCGACCUUGCUGAAGAGGAGAUCCAGAAGCCUGUCUACGUAGCCG
rnacentral:lncRNA from 1 species